rnacentral:lncRNA from 1 species
UGGACAUGACGGAGGUAAAACAGAAGCAGUCGUUGUUUUUCGCUUUCACGGUUACCUUUUGAUUCUAUAGUACGCUCUCCAGCUGAAUUCGGUUUUCGUGUAAUCUCAUUAUUUCUCAAUGGAAAUUCAAAAGAGCUUUCUCCUAUGACGUCAGACUGACGUGGGAAACCUCUCCUGUUCCCGGAAUAAAAUGGCAAAGGAGAAAAAUCAACAGAAAAGGAGAGCGAGAGAAAAUCAACCUACGAUGUGGUAUUAACAUUUUUUUGGGCAUUCCUGUAAUUUUUCUCAUCUUGCGCGACACUUCCCCGCGAAAUGCUUGAAAUUCCCGUUCGUUUUUAGCUCAAGUGGUUAUUCUACUCGCCUUGAACAUGCUACAGAAAUUUCCAGUGCGGUUAGUUUUCGUCGCGGUCGUAUUCUUGAUCAUAUUAACAGGAUGUGUUAAAGCGGGCGAGGACGAUGAAAAACGAAAGGCGUUCGAGAAACUGCUGGACAAUAUCGAGCUUGACCCUUGCACGGGUUUAAUGAGCACGACGUUGGGGAGCGCGGAACGGGCAAAGCUGGAGAGGGAGGCGAAUGCUAAAUGCAAAGAGUACCACGAGCUGCUCAAGGGCUCGCACUUUUAUGAAUCUGGCGAUUGCAUUAAUGGUGACGACCCUAAAUGCGCCGAUACCGUGGAUUCCUGGAAUUCCUGCAACAAAAUGCACCGCUGUUCCCUGCGUAUCGACGGAACUUGGUGCGGAACUAAACGGCGAUCAAUUUAUCGGUGCGUAUCCGGUGCCCUGCAACUGCACAAGGAGAAAAAAGGACAGGAAUGCGCCAGGCGGAGGGAGUUAAAGGGCUAUAAACCUGCGCCAGAGCCCCCGGAACCAACAAGAUCAAUCGCCGGGCUCCCAACCGCAAGAGCGCCCACAGCUACGGUGAACACUAGGGCGCCCACCUCGACCGCAGCGUCCAAUACAGGGGCGCCCCCCAAGACGGUUCCCGCGAAGGCUGCGCCCACCAUACAGACGCGCGCCAGGCCGACGCCCGCCAAGCAGGCGUCCACUGCGAAGACGCCCGCCAAACCGGCGCCCACUAAGCAGACGCCCGCCAAACCGGCGCCCACUAAGCAGACGCCCGCCAAACCGGCGCCCACUAAGCAGACGCCCGCCACGACGGCGCCCACUCCGAUGAAGCCCAAUUGGCCUCAACAGAGACACGACUCGACCGGGUCAUGGAAACCGCGGCUCCCGCCACCGACCCCCUGGACGACCGACGGGAGUCCCCGCUUUGGGUCCGCGGGCCACUCGCCCAUCGGACUCAUCGGGGCGACGCGCCCUAUCCCGCCGCCCAAAACUAGCCCGGGCGUCACCGUCACUAUAGAUCCCAGGGCUAACAGUGCUAGGACAGUCACUUUCGGCAGCAAUGCACCCCGCGGCGGCGGCGGUUACCAAAACUUCGGGCGUUCCCAAACUUUUAGUUAG